rnacentral:tRNA from 1 species
GUCUAUGAAGUAGAAAUUACACUACUUUUUCAAGGUAGAAAUGGACAUUGUCCCUUAGAUU